CAGCACUAGUACUGCGUGAAAGAUAAGGCAGAACUCAGCGCUGAAACCCUUUGCAGUGAAUGGUUUUAACGCUGCGAUCUGCAACAGGCCAAAACAACGCUGGGACUGGCAACAUCACUGCAGGUAGUACCAGUAGCAGCUGCAAUUUGUCGACGCGCAUUGUCAGCGGAUCUUGACCAAACCAGAGAUCUUCCGCUACUUUAUGGAGCCAGGCAUGAUCUUUACGGACGAUACUGCCAUCUUGGGCUUCGACUGCAUCCUCGCCACUGUCACCGAGAAUGUCAUCCACGACGGCUUUACGCAUUAUGCUCUCGGUCCUGGAGCAUCAUGCGAAAUUCGGUGUGAUCCAGCUACAGUUUCGAAUUCGGCUGGUUGGCGGACUUUCCGUAACUGCAUAUGUAAAUGUUUCCGUUUGGGCCAAACGGAAAUAUCUGCCCACGCAGUUUCUGGAAAUUUCGCGGCUGAUUUCCUGUGAAACGCUAAAGAACUCAUUAAUAGUGGACGGCUGCAUGCAAGAAAAAAUCCCCGACAAGCUGGCGCUUGAAGCACCAUGUCAAAGCAUCAGAGCAGUUCGUAAUCGAAGGAGCAACAGUCUGCGACGAACUGACAGUAUUUCUGACACUGAAAUGCCGUCUGUCGACCAGGAGAAUGGCGUUCUAGUGGAUACACGGUUGAUUUCCGCCGCAUGGCCACUUCCUUAUACCUACGGCGCCGUUGAGUACAUGAUGAACUUCGUCCGGCUGCUCGGCACCCGGGCCAAGGUCAAAAAGAGGAAGGAAUAAUUAAAGGAAGGAAAUAUUUUUGGUCAAAAAGAGGAAGGAACAAUUAAAGGAAGGAAAUAUUUUUGGUCAAAAAGAGGAAGGAAUAAAUAAAGGAAGGAAAUUUCAUGGUCAAAAAGAGGAAGGAAUAUUUAAAGAAAGGAAUGUUUUUUUGACCAGAAAGGAAGAAAAUUUCGAUGGAAAAAAAUUGAAGGAAAUUUUUGUGGUCAAAAACGGAAAGAAAUUUCGAUUGUCAAAAACAAGAAAAAUUUUCUCUGCAGUUAAUGCGCUAAAAUUUGUAAAAAUAAAAUUUGUAAAAAGUUUUGGGAAUAAGGUACUUAAACGUUACUGUCCGUUUGAUCAAGUGAUGCUAGAAUACCUAAGCGUUACAGCCAAACCUAAUAAUUUUACGAUAAG